rnacentral:lncRNA from 1 species
UAAUUUACAUUGCGAGGAACUAAGUUUUCAAAUAAAAAAUUAAGGAACAGUUACAUUUACAGCUUAAAGGGAGACAUACACCAAGUGUAUGCGAGCUUAGUUUAUUAUAGAGAAUGAAAAGACUUAGAGCUAUAAAAUAGAGAAUUUUACUUCCUUUUUUUUUCAAAAACUAACUCAGAAAUGGGACGAAGAUUCAAGGCCAAGCAAAAUCCACACAGACUCUGGACUCCAUUGGAUUUUCUACCACCGUCUCUUCAGUUCUUUGAUUAUUCUGCUUCUGCAUGCCAAUAUCAUCUUUCAAUGGUUUCCUCACAGCAUUACAAGAUGAAGAAGUUAUGAUAGAAGAUGGAGGAUAUGCUGCUAAUAUAGCUGAAGCACCACACUUACGAUGUCGGACUAAUUCUGAAGCGAGAAGCAUAAGAGAAGCCAUGGAAAUUGAUACAAACUCAGUAUUAAAAAUGUGGUUUUUAUUUACAUAUUUUUU